rnacentral:rRNA from 1 species
AUUGAACGCUGGCGGCAGGCCUAACACAUGCAAGUCGAGCGGAGCGGCGGACGGGUGAGUACUGCCUAGGAAUCUGCCUGGUAGUGGGGGAUAACGUCCGGAAACGGGCGCUAAUACCGCAUACUAUCAGAUGAGCCUAGGUCGGAUUAGCUAGUUGGUGGGGUAAAGGCCUACCAAGGCGACGAUCCGUAACAGGUCUGAGAGGAUGAUCAGUCACACUGGAACGAAGAGGCGGUCCAGACUCCAACGGAAGGCAGCAGUGGGAAAACGUGGGCAAUGGGCAAAAGCCGGAUCCAGCCAUGCCGCGUGUGUGAAGGAGGUCUUCGGAUUGUAAAGCACUUAAAGUUGGGAAGGGUUACCAACAGAAUAAGCACCGGCUAACUUCGUGCCAGCAGCCGCGGUAAUAC